rnacentral:lncRNA from 1 species
AAGGAGUGUGAGUAGCCCAUGGCGACCUGGGGGGACAAAUCAGCGUUGGGUGUGCCUGAGGCGCCUGGACUAAUCAAUGCGUUGAAGAGACUCUGGAAACUGGGCUGCUAAAGCGGGUCAGCAUGGAGAAAAACAGAGUGCCCUUGAAAACUGCAAAAAGCCCCUCUGCCCAAGACAGCUAGUUUCCAUGUGACUGCCACCAACGCUCUGCCAAUCAGAGCCUUCCAGGCUGCCCUGGGAGACCCAGCUGGAAGGAAGCCCACUGGGCCACCUCUUAUCAGCAGGGACAGGUGGGGACAUGGCUCCAGCUCCACUUCCAUCCCCCCCCUCUCUGGCUCACAAUCCUGCCUGGGUGAGGUGCACCACCCCUCUCUGUGUCUUGGCAGACAGGGCCAGCAGGCUGGCUGACUGAGCCGCAGGGGCCUCACCCCGCCAUCUGACUCCUGCAGCCACGCAGCCUCUACUCUGUGGACCUGCGGACCUGCCUCCAGCCCAGUGGAUCUGAGUCCUGGGUGUGAUGGAGACGCGAGCGAUGUGCUCGCCCGAGAGUGGAUCUGCUGCGGCCAGUUGGUGCCAUCUGUCAUCAAGGGUGAGGACAGCCACCCAGCCUGGCCAGCAACCCUGUGCACUCUCUCCUGCAGAAUGAUUGUUACCUCUCAAACAAAUCUUAGCGUGAGACACCAGGAAAGCCAGCUGAGAUGGUAAACAAGACAACCCAAACAGACUGCGAUGAUCAAAAUCAUGAGGAGUGACAUACCACUGGGUACGGACACGUCCCCGAGCUGGCACAGCUGCCCCCACUCACCUGCUCUGAGAAAAUGCCAUCCAGAGUCUUUACCUCCUGGGCUGCAGUGGAAGACUUGGGCUUGUGGUCCCCGUAGCCCUGGCGAAGCAAACAAGAUGUUCGCAAUCGAGGAUCCAUGUGGCUCAGUCCACAAGUGGGGAAUCACGGCAACAUUUCCUGGCCCCCACUAACCAGAAGCCAGUGAUGAUGCCCUCUGGCCCAUGACAAGCCCGGCCACCCUUGCACACAAGGGCCAGGUGGAAUCAUCCAAGUUUAUCCACAAAAGGUGCCACCAGCAGGCGACUAGCGCUUAACCUAAGGAAGACCAAGGUGCCCAACUCUAGCCUGCAGGACUUCUGUGUGCACAAGUCCCUUCUGGGGAGUAUGGCACUGGUGACAAGAGAUGACACCACGAGUGCAGGAAGAAUGGCAACUGCGGCCCUUCAGGACCAAAGCGACCAAGAACACGGGCUGACCAAAUGCCCUUGAUGCCUCCACCAUCCAGAGUGGAAUAAUCACCAUCCAAAACAAAACAAAAUAAAAGGGCUUAAGCGUGACAGGGAGACUAUUAGCAAUGGCACCAGAGAACCAGUUUCCCUCCCAGAGGUAGAAGGAACUGGAUGAAUUGGCGCAGCUAAGGGGGAGUCUUGUGCAAAGGUGUGGAGCUGGGCAAUUGAAAGACUGAAGGCCCUGGCUCAGGUGAAACAGAGGGUCCCACAGGGCGGGAGAGGAGGACCCUCCCUCCCCAGCCCAGGCCUGCCCACAUGUCCCUGGUUUCAUCUCCUGCCAGGCCCCACCUCGGGCCUUCCCACACAGUAGAUGUUCCCUCCAAGGUGCCAGGCCAACUUCUCACCCUUGAGAAGCUCCCCAAAAAGUCUCCCUUGCUCCCCUCUAGUUUCAAAAUUUAUAUUUAGAAGGUCAAAGUCUAUUUCUGAUAGGCCCCAGAAAACAUCCUUCCUCCUCUAAGAACUAUCUGUAGAAACUGGGCCAGGCUCUGUCUCUUUCCUGUCAAUGUUUCAAAUCGGGCCACCAGAGCAUCUGAGCCAGACUCCAAGGGUGUGCAGAGCCCCGAGAAAAAGGUGCAUUCACCAUCCAUCCCAGCCACAGCUCAAGGGACCAAGGAACGCCCUUCCUUCCCCUCCUCUCCAUCAACCACAAGAGUACCUUGCAACCACAAGAGUGCAGGAGAGGGAGACAGACUGUGCUUCUAACAAGAAAUAAGGGACUAAAACUAAGACCACCAAGAGUUAAGCGGAGAAUCAAACCAUGACUAGUGUAGGCAGAUCAGGAUGCACUCCACAGCCAAGCUAGUCUUCCUAACAAAAACUCAAAGACCCGCCUUGGCCAGGUGCAGUGGCUCACGCCUGUAAUCCCAGCACUUUGGGAGGUUGAGGCGGGUGGAUCACCUAAGGUCAGGAGUUCAAGACAGCCUGGCCAACAUGGUGAAACCCCAUCUCUACCAAAAAUACAAAAAUUAGCUGGGCGUGGUGGCAAACGCCUAGAGUCCCAGCUACUCAGGAGGCUGAAGCAGGAGAACUGAGAAUCAUUUGAACCUGGGAGACAGAGGGUGCAGUGAGCCAAGAUCGCGCCACUGCACUCCAGCCUGGGUGACAGAGAAACUCCAUCUCAAAAAAAAAAAAAAAAAAGACUCACCUAGCACCAGGAUCUAAGAAUGAAAGACAUUUGUUUGCGGAAGGCCACGUGUGUGAAAUUGAGGGUCAUGAGUUCUAACCUCAUCACUCAAGUAACUGGUAUUAACAACAGAAACACAGGUUUAAACUCAAUUUGGAAAAAUGAAGAAUGUCCUCAAAUCACCCACAACUGUGAGUUUCCCACUGACUUAGGCCUCCAGGGGAGAGGGAACAAACAGGCCCUUUUCCUACCAUAACCCAACUGUGGUUUACAAAAUGUGAGGGGAAACCGGAUCUGAAAAGUCCCAAUUUUCAGAGUUUACAAAUGUGCAGAGAUGACUCAGAAUUAUCUGACUAGCACAGAAUUGUCCUUGAAAACUCAUGGGACUCAAUCGUGUUGCAAACCUUAAUACAAUAAGGGGGGAAUCCCAAAUGUUUUUCUUCUGUGUGUUUUGGGAGACAGGUGGAGAGAACCCAAAGGCCAUGAGCCACCCUGACUGGCUUCCACUUCCCCUGACCCGCACAGGUGACAGCUUACCAGUUCCCCAAAGGUCGGUGACGGACCCCAGCUGAUGGUGCUCUCAUCGGCGGCCACAAUGAUGCUGCUCUUCCUGCAAACAGGCAGGCUGUCACUGCAGGGCCAGCAGCCCCAGACCUGCACCCACGCAGCUAUGGCUCAAGGGCAUGAGUGUGAGCUGCCACUUUUCCCUUGGCGUACUCAUUCCAAGUAGCAAACACAAUAACAGGGCCAACAGGUUUCUCCUCAAUCCUAAGAUUGUUCCGUGCAGGCCACUCAACGCUUCAACAAAACAACAAAGCCCUUAGACAGGCCUAGGGGCCAAAGGCAGGGGACCUUGCUGUGCAUCCUGCACAGCUCUCUCUCAGUGGGAGGUCGCUUUGGGAAGAGGAGACCAGAUCAGGAUAAAGUGAAAGCCUGUUCCAGAGGGAGCAGCCUUCAUGCAUAAUGAUUUGGGCAGGGCUAGAGCCUUCAACAGAUUAAAGCCACGCCGACAGAGGCCCCUCAUACUGUUCCACCCACACCUGCCAGCUGAUAAAUCCAACUCCUCAGCAAGAAGUGCUAGCUAACUCAACAGGUGUCCUGAAAUGAACUACAAACCACUGCUGCCAAGACAAUGUCGUCUUCCCAGUGUCACAGCAACUCAAGUCCUGCUACGUUUCCAACUACGUAUAAUUUUCAACCUGCAGCGUAGGAAUACAUCAAGCUCUGCUUGUUUAUUUCUUUGAACAGAAACCUUCAAAAUGACUUUCUUCCCACAAGACAGGGAACAGCCAUCUGUUCUAGCAGCAAAUGGGCCCUCUCCCCUCCUGUACCCCCGGACUCUGGGAUUCAGUGUGUCAGAUGGCCUGCUGAGGACAGCCCAACAGGCAGCAGAAACAGAGCCCCAUCAGGGAGGGGCACCCCAUGGGUGUGUCUGACACCCCCAUGAAAGGAAGAGACCUCAUACCCACAGGAGAUGCUGCCACCUACCCACAAGCCAGGCUCCGGAUUCUCCAGCCGCAGAGGUCCUGCACUGCUUUUGGGUACAUGGUAGAUUCACGGGAGGUGUUGGUGGCCCCCCAGAAAAACAGACCACCUAAGGGAAGACAAAACAUGUUCCCAGCGUGACCAGACAUCGAGAGCUGAGUCUCAUCUUCAGUAUUAUCAGGGUGAAAAGAGGACGGGAUGGCAAACAAGUGUUCUGUCUAAAAGAUAACUGGAGCCAGGCGUGGUGGCGUGCCUGUGCAGUCCUAGCUACUCAGGACGCUGUGGUGGUAGGACUGCUUGAGCCCAGGAGUUCGACACCGGCCUGGACAACACAACGAGUUCCUGUCUCAAAAAAAUAAAGAACACUGGGAGGUAAAGAGAAUUGGGGUUCGUGGUCUAGGGACAGGACAAUGGCUACACGGUUCCGCACCAGAGCACUGAUAAGCCAGGGGGCAGAAAUCACUAACCCACUUCACUGACAGCAAAGGAGCAGGUGUAACCAGCAUAGAUCUGGGAAGCCCCACGAGAAGACUCGCUUCUGGGAGUCCAGGACCAGCUGCAAGGAAAGAAAACACAGGGUUGGAACAAACAGACUUCCAACAGGCAACAAGAGGGGUCAUCGUUUCUGUGCAGACAACCUGGUGCAAAUGCUAAGGGCAAAGGAACAGCAACAUUCAAGAUCCCCUACCAGCCGGGCACGGUGGUUCACAUCUAAUCCCAACACUUUGGGAGGCCAAGGUGGGUGGAUCACUUGAGGUCAGGAGUUUGAGACCAGCCUGGCCAACAUGGUGAAACCCUGUCUCCAAAAACCAAAGAAAUAUCCUUUGCCUGCCUCCAGCAGAAAGAUCCUCUACCUCCCGCCUCCAGCAGUGGGGGAGGAGGCAACAGGAGCAAGUGUAGCAAAAUGGCAUGCAUUCAAUAAGCCCAGUUUGCUAUUUUCUCUGCCAGGGACUCCAUUUUCCAAUCCUUUUUUGUUCUGUUUAUUUAUUUAAGUUACAAGUCUUAACCCUUUCCUUAAUCAGAAGCAACAGGGCUAUGUCUCCUGAGAGUUGGGCAAUCAUUUGAUUCCCACUACAACAGAGAUUCGGCCAGAUGCAGUGGCUCAUGCCUGUAAUCCUAGCACGUUGGGAGGCUGAGGCAGGUGGAUUGCCUGAACUCAGGAAUUCAAGACCAGCCUGGGCAACAUGGUGAAACCCAUCUCUACUAAAAUACAAAAAAAUUAGCUGGGCACAGUGGUGUGCACCUGUAAUCCCAGCUACUCAGGAGGCUGAGACAGGAGAAUCUCUUGAACCUGGGAGGCGGAGGCUGCAGUGAGCCGAGAUAGCGUCACUGCACUCCAGCCUGGGUGACGGAAUGAGACUCCAUCUCAAAAAAAAAAAACAAAACGAAACAAAAAAAAAAACACAACAAAAAAAAAACAGAUUCAAUUGCAGAAAGAACAGAAAAGGCCUACCUGUUCCUGGAUUUUUCGUUUCUUUUCCCCCCCUCGAGAGGGUCUCGUGCUCUGUUACCUAGGCUGGAAUGCAAUGGCACGAUCACGGCUCACCACAACCUCCACCUCCUGGGCUCAAGCGAUUCUCCUACCUCAGCCUCCCAAGUCGCUAGGACUUGGGUGUGCACCACCAUGCCCAGCUGAUUUUUGUGGUUUUUUUGUAGAGAUGGGGGUCUCACCAUGUUGCUCAGGCUGGUCUCAAAUGAUCUGCCCACCUUGGCCUCCCAAAGUCCUCUGAUUACAAACAUGAACCACUGCGCCCGGCCUGGAUUUUUCUUUAGACUUCCCUCACCCACAGGUACAGAGGUAACCUGUACCUGGUCACUGAUGAAAUGAACUCAGAGACACUUCAAGUGUUUAAGAUUUAUCUUCUUCAGUCUCGUUUUCCCAUCUUCUGACAUGCCAAUUCAGUUCUUUGAUGUUUCAUGUCUAAACCAUGGGAAUCUACAACUUACUAAAAAACUUGGCCUAUAAGGCCCUAAACAAGAGCCAACUUUAUUUCCCCUGACUACAUCAGACAAAACAAAUCAGUUUUUGGACUUGCACAAACUGAAAUCUCCUACCCUAGUCCUAGCCCAAUUCCCUGGGCAUUCUUCAUCGGCAAGAAGAUUCCAAGGGAAGGAGGUGGUGAGCUGAGACCACUCAGUGGGGAGGACCAACUUGAUCUCUGGAAUCCUAGCCCAGGCUUUUUCAACAAAGCAUAGAACAAAGAGACUCCUAGGCAUUCUCAGACAGAAGAACCACAGGAAGGCCAUUAAAAUUAAAAGAUACACUAACAGCCGGGCGCGGUGGCUCACACCUAUAAUCCCAGCACUUUGGGAGGCCGAGGCAGGUGGAUCACGAGGUCAGGAGUUUGAGACCAGCCUGGCCAACAUGGUGAAACCCCAUCUCUACUAAAAAUACAAAAUUAGCCAGGAAUGGUGGCAGGUGCCUCUAAUCCCAGCUACUCAGGAGGCUGAGGCAGGAGAAUAGCUUGAAACAGGAAGACAGAGGUUGCAGUGAGUUGAGAUCCCACCACUGCAUUCCAGCCUGGGUGAAAAAGUGAAACUCCGCCUCAAAUAAAAAAAAAAAAGAUACACAAACAAAAGAUUGCACUGCAGUUUAUCUAAAGUGACCUUUAAAGAAACAACCUAGGCCAGGCGUGGUGGCUCACACCUGUAAUCCCAGCACUUUGAGAGGCCGAGGUGGGCAGAUCACCUGAGGUCAGGAGUUUGAGACCAGCCUGACCAACAUGGAGAAACCCUGUCUCUACUGAAAAUACAAAACUAGCCGGGGCAUGGUGGCGCAUGCCUGUAAUCCCAGCUACUCGGGAGGCUGAGGCAGGAGAAUUGCUUGAACCUGGGAGGUGGAAGCUGUGGUGAGCCGAGAUCACGCCAUUGCACUCCAGCCUGGGCAACAAGAGUGAAACUGUCUCCAAAAAAAAAAGGGGGGGGGGGCGGGGGGGACAACCUACUGAUUAAAAACGACUCACAUCCCCAGUAUGGGGCACCAUCUACUGACCUGGAAAGAUGUCUGUGAUGUUAUGUUAGAUAAAAGCCAAAAGCAGAAAGUGCUUACCUUAAGGUGCAGGUGAGGGCGGCAAAACAUCUACGUGUUUAAGAUGUGUCUAUUUAAAUCACGGGAGAAGUUAACAUAGGAGGCAGUGACAGGGAACCCUGCCCUGGGACCAAGGACCCUUUGGCCAAGGUGCAAAGCCCUCUUGAAGAAGCAAGCAGAUGUCUACCUGGGAUCAGUUCCUAGCCAAAGCCAAGCGUCAGGAAACUUGAGCAUAAACACCCCUUCCAUCCUGGUGCGACUCUCAGGAAGUGAGAAAAGCCGAGCCUCACCGUGUGGUUAGCGCCACAGGCCACGUCUCGUACAACCACGUUUGGUACAGGCAGAAUCUGUCCAUCUUUCGUCUUCUCAAUGAAGAUGGCCACUCGCCGGGGAACUAGUUCACAGUCGUACUCUAUCCGCUGUGCCCGGGCGAUGAACUUCCCAUCUGAGUUGUGUCCUGUAGAGACCACAGAGCCGGCCAUCAGCAGCAGCACAAGCACAAGGGACGUGUCAGUGUGCUCACACGGACUCUGUAGUGAGCCCCGGCAGCACCCCAAUCUGGCCCUUCUGGGCCUUAGACCAGCACACGUUGGUCAACAAAGGCAGCAUUUCCAAUCUUAGGCACAGCACAGUGAGUGGGUCAGUGAAAUCAAUUUUGUGAGCUAAGACCAGUUAUUUUUUAAAAACGAAUAGAACAGAAUGACAAAGAAUACUCUACACAUAAUAAUGGCACCAUGUUACAACAAUUCCAGGUAAGGUAUUAUACGUUCAGAUUGGGUUGCAAAAGAAAACUUAUUUCUUACAAUGGGUUGCAGUCAAAAAAGUUGAAGCUGCUGAUCAAGGAAUGGUCUAUCAAGUAAGAUCUCUACCCCACUGGAGGGACCACAAGGAGCCCCUAAAAGACCAAGAAUAGACAGAAAAGCUCCAUACACAAUCCCAGGCCUCUGUUUUUAUGAAUUACCAGUAACCUAAACGUAUGGUUACGGGUGGCUAAAGCCUGCAAUUCCCACACUCCGAAUGACCCAGGGACUGGUUCGCAAAGACCCAGCUCAGCACACCACACACCAGAAGCCCGGCUGCUCCAGUCCUGAGAACACGCCAGACACCCAAGCUCCUGCAGCCACCUGCAGCAGCAGGGCUGCUAAGUAGUUUAUAGUUUUAAACUGCUCCUGUUCCCACACUGUGAUCAUCAGUUUGGUUGGGCACGGUGGGCCACGCCUGGAAUCCCAGCACGUUGGGAGGCCGAAGUGGGUGGAUCACCUGAAGUGAGGUGUUUGAGACCAGCCUGGCCAACACAGUGAAGGCCUGUCUCUACUUUAAAAAACAAAAACAAACAAACAAAGAUUAGCUGGGCGUGGUGGUGGGUGCCUAUAGUCCAGCUACUUGGGAAGGCUGAGGCAGAAGAAUCGCUUGAACCUGGGAGGUGGAGGUUGCAGUGAGCAGAGAUCAUGCCACUGCACUCCAGCCUGGGCGACAGAACAAGUUUCUGUCUCCAAAAAAAAACAAACAAAAAAACUUGUUGUUAUCAGUUUGUAAACUAGCCCCCGGCUUGUGGCUAAUCCCCCUCCAUACGGCACGCUGGUGUGCACCUCAGCCCUUAUUGGUAUGUGUGUUUUUGAGCACUGUGCUAUUUAAAUACAGUCAGCCCUCCAUGGCCACAGGUUCAACCAACAGUGGUCCAAAAAUAUCUGGGGGGAGGAGGAAACAAGGAAAAAAAAAAGAUAAUACAAACAAUACAAGUAAGACCAUACAGUAGAACUACUUACAUAACAUUUACAUCACAUUAGGUACUGAAGUAAUCUAGAGAUGAUUUUAAGUGUACAGGUUACAUGCAAAUACUAUGCCAUUUUAUAUAAGGUACUUGAGCAUCUUAAGAUCUUGGUAUCCACAGGGGGUACUGGAAGCAAUCCCCCAGGUUACCAAGGAGCAACUGCACCCUGGAAUCACAACUACGCUACACACAAUAAAACUCCUGGGCUUGUUUACAGGGCGCCUUAUAACACUCAUCUCAUAAGCAGGUUCUAUUUUUUUUUUUUUUUUUUUGAGACAGAGUCUCGCUCUGUCGCCCAGGCUGGAGUGCGGUGGCAUGAUCUCUGCUCACUAUCACUGUCUUAUGACAGCAGUUCUCUACUGUUGACAUAAUCCCUUCCAGUGGAACAUCUGUCCGUUUAAAAGUCUGAGGGUCUUGGCCGGGCGCGGUGGCUCGCGCCUGUAAUCCCAGCACUUUGGGAGGCUGAGGUCGGCGGAUCACGAGGUCAAGAGAUUGAGACCAUC